rnacentral:misc_RNA from 1 species
UGGCUCUGGUGUCGAUGAAGAACGCAGCGAAAUGCGAUAAGUAGUACGAAUUGCAGAAUUCAGCGAAUGAUCGAAUCUUUGAACGCACAUUGCGCCCCCUGGCAUCCCGGGGGGCACGCCUGUCCGAGCGUCAUUACGUCCCUCAAGCCUGGCUUGGUAUCUGGGCCGCGCCCCUCGCGGGGCGGGCCUCAAACUCCCCGGCGAGCGGCCGUCCCGCCCGGUGUGACCAGGAGCCUCCCUCCACACGCCGGCGCGAGCGUCGCUCCCCGUCAGAGACCCAUCAGCUUGACCUCGGAUCAGGCGGGGAUACCCGCUGA